CGCUGGUCCAAAGGUAGUGAGUUAUCUCAAUUGAUUGUUCACAGUCAGUUACAGAUCAGACUCCUUUUUCUCCUCUUUCCUCCCUUCUCACUACAACACUUGACUAGUCUUUU
ensembl:misc_RNA Y_RNA Y RNA